CGUGUAGGGGAUGUUGUGAAAUGUUGCAUCAAGAAAAUUACUUACUUUGGGAUAUUCUGUGAAGUUGAAGGUGUCCCUGCACUGAUCCACCAGUCAGAAGUUUCAUGGGAUGCCACUUUAGAUCCUGCAUCAUAUUUCAAGAUUGGUCAGAUUGUUGAUGCAAAGGUGCACCAGUUAGAUUUUACACUUGAACGGAUAUUCUUAUCACUGAAA